UAUAGUAGAAGUAAUAAUUGCUUGUAUUUAUUCUCUAGGUAUUACUAGAGACUACGAAGUAUCAUUGUGAGAGGGAUUCCGGUACUCGUCCGGUGUUCUGUAAGUGGGGGAUUUAUACGUUACGCAUUGCGUAUUUUUUAUCUAAAAGGUAUCCUAAACAUAUGUGAAUUAUUUUCUCAAUGGAUUAUAUCCUUUUGUAUUAUUUGCUCACAUAGCACUUGUUGAUUGGAUCAUAUUUUGAGAUGCACACGGAUAUUUUGGUAUAAAUCAUGCUUAUUUUCUUUGUUGACAGUCAAGUCUUUUUCAUGUAGUAGUAGGUUGAGAUAAAUAUGUGGUUGAUUUUCAUUAUUGGGUGACCUUUGUCAUAUUUCUUUCUGAAAUGCUUGUUUAUAUGAUGUUUGUUCAUUCUUUUGAAAACAUAUGCAUCUCAAUGUCAAUAUACCGGUGUAUAACGAAGAUAAGUAAGUCAUCUAAAUACGGCUCAAUGUGCCUCCAUGAGAUUUAUUUUAGCGCUAAGCCUAAAAUUUUAGGUCUUGAUAUCCUAGUACAAUGGCAUUAAUAAAAAUGGGGAUACCAUGUCAACUAGGAUAUUAGGUAUUGACCACAUUGAGACAUGGCCUACUUAUUGCAUGAAUCUAUAUUUUAAAAAAUGUUGCAUCAAAUAUGAGAGUUCAUUGAUGGUUUUCUACUAUUCUAAUAUUUUUCUUAUCAAGUCAAAAUAUUUUAGUUUUUGUUGUGAUCAAGUUGUAUUCACCUUUUUGUUCAGAGACUCAAAAUUAGGUGGAGGUGAUGGUUUUUGAAUCCUUAGAAGAGAGCAAGGAAUAAAUUGUAGAUUGCAAAAUUGCUAUUAUGUGAAGGAUAAAUAAAGGCUUCGAUGUUUAGUUUACUUUUGGAAGAAUGUAGUAAUAAGAUUAUUUUUUUACGGUUGAAUUCUCUUUUCUAGUUGGGAGAACUUUUAUUUACAUUAUUUGAUUGGAUAAAUAUAGACUUUUGCUUAUGGAGAAAAUUGUUAUUGGCUAUUGAAUUUAAUGCUUAGAUUAUUUUGUUGGUCAUGUGAUGAAUGUAUUUUUUUUGGAGAAUAUUUUAACUAGUUUUGUUGGGCUCCAAUGUUCCUUCGAGGUCUUGAAAAUUGGGGUUGUGACAAAUUUCAUGAUCUUGCCAAAUUAUUUGGAACUGGUGGAAAAUUAUAUAGCUUUGUUCCUUGACAUUGAAUCCUUUACCAUCAAUUCUUUUCAUGCAUAAACUAUUUCAUUUAUUUGUUUUAGCUCUCUCUUUUUUCUCGUCUCUUUUAAAUAUCUUUUAAGGUUGAUAACUUAACACAUUAAAAACUUAAUUAAGGUUUAUUUUUAACUCAGCCAAUGUUUUUGAUUUUCUGUUAUGUCCUUCUCUUAAUUUUCUAAUCCGGUUUUGUCUAUUGAUCUGGUCUGUUAAUUUUAGUCUAGCCAUCAACUUCUCAAAUGUGGACUUCAAAUAUCCAAAUUCAAGGAGUUAAAUUCUGCGUCAUUUCACAUUUCCUGUGCCAACUACGGAGCCCAGUUUCACGGUAAAAGCAGCUCACAGAAAUCAGAGGCAAUAUCAACUAACAGCUUCUUCAUUAAGAGCCUGACUCAAAAGAGCUGAUCGGCUAGAAAUGAAAAUUCACAAAAAAAUCUCGUAAACAGUCUCGUGGAGCAGCAUAGUUGUACCCAAAAAUUUGUUACUGUGAGAUGAGUAGAAGAGAAGUUCGUCACGCAAACCUGAAUCGGACGUUUUGUUGAAAAGCAACGGCGUUGACAUCCCCGACUGAGAAUAAAUAAAUGUCCCCUGGUGUGUUCCCCUCUCUAUGAGGUGGUCGGGAUGUUUCAAGCUAGGAAUUUUGCUGGACGUUGAUCCUUCGUUCACUUCAACCUGGAAGAGCCAAUGGAUCAACUUCUAGUUCUCAGAGGAAUGGUUAAUUGAAAAGGCAGUUCAACUGUUCGAUAAAAUGCCCAAGUUAAAAUGUUCAUCCGAAAAUGGUAGCAGAGCUCAACCCAGUCGAGUUCGAGAGCUUCACACUAGUAAAAGAUACAAGCAUCCAAGGUAUGAUUAGUUGUUCUCUUUGAUUUAAAAAGCUCUUUAACUGUUCGUCCAGAAGAGAUGUCAUUAGAUUUCUGAGUUGACUUGCCAACUAGAGUUCUCAUACUACUAUCUAGGGUUGGCAAAUGGGUCGACCCACCCGAUCCGACGCAUAUAAAUUUUGACCUGACCCGAUCCAUCAAAUAAUCGGGUGAACAUGUUUAUUAAACGAAAUCGGGUUUAUUAAACGGGUUAACUAUCGACUCAAGUGAUCCAUUUAAUUAUUUUAUAAUUCUUAUACUUAACAUAGAGUCCAUUGCCAAAGUUUUUAUGAUCCUAUUUAUCAUUCAUAGGUUUUGUUACUGUUUGGAAGUUUAGAUAUUUUCAGGGUGUUUUUGGAAAUUUUGGGUGUGUUUUUUGUUAAUUUUAAAAGUUUUAGGGUGUUGUUUGCAAAUAUCAUUUUCUCAGUGGACUUUUCUAAAUUAUAAACUUUUAUACCCGUUGUAAGUUUUGACUUUUCGGUUUUUUUUAUUUUGAAUUUUUAGGAUGUUUUUAAUAGGGGUUUUUAUUUCUAGCCCAAUUUGUUUACUCAACUUUACCUAUAAACCCAAUCACUAUUGCUUAUAUAUUUAAACUCAAUUAUCUUUUUGUAUUUGUCUUUAAACCCAACUUUCAAAAUACAAUACUUGCAUACGUGAGACCCCUUAAUUUUUUCCCUUAAAUCCCAAUUAUGCCCUUUCAAUUUAUCUCGUGUCCUUCAUUAAGUGGGCCCCUUUAAAAAAUUUAAGAAAAUGAAGAGAGAGAAGAGAUAGAAAGAGAGAGGAACGAGCUGUUUAUCUGUUUCUCUCCCCUAGGUGCAGGAGAGGAGAGAAACGACGGGAGAGGAGAGAAACGGCAGGAACCCACCGUUUCUCUCUCUCUCUUCGCCCCCUCCCUUUCUCUCUCUCUCUCCAUUUCUCAAUUAACUCCCUCUCUCAUCCAUUAUUACUACAUUCUUCCACUCUUAUGAACCCAUCAAUUAAUUCUCACACACUUAUCAAUCCAUCAAUUAAUUCUCAACUUCAUUAAUGUGUUUAAUUCUCACUCACUUAUCAAUCCAUCAAUUAAUUCUCAACUUCAUUAAUGUGUAGGGUGUGAUUUUGGUGGUUAUCACACUACACUUAUAAGUUAUCACACUACACUUUCAUGUUAUCACGCUACAUUUACAAGUUAUAAGAAUUGCGGGACCUGAUGGCAUUUUCAAUGAUUUGAGGGGCUAAUUUCAGAAGGGUAAAGAUUUAGUGAACUAUAAUCGAAAACCCCAAACAAGAAGCAACUGAGCCACAUGUACCCCCACCCAACCCAAGCGCAAAUUACUGUUCGAAGUUGCUAUUGAACUGCUCCAUAAAAUGCUGGUACAAGCAAUAAAAGCGCCCAUCUGAGGAAUGGUUAAUUGACAAGGCACUUCAACUAUUUGAUAAAAUGCACAUAUGAACAUAUCCAUUCAAAAUUGGUAGCAGAGCUCAACCGAGUCGAGUUCGAGAGCUUCACGCUAACAAAAGAUACAAGCAUUCAAUG